CAACUUUCAGCAACGGAUCUCUUGGCUCUCGCAUCGAUGAAGAACGCAGCGAAAUGCGAUAAGUAAUGUGAAUUGCAGAAUUCAGUGAAUCAUCGAAUCUUUGAACGCACCUUGCGCUCCUUGGUAUUCUGAGGAGCAUGCCUGUUUGAGUGUCAUU
rnacentral:rRNA from 2 species